UAUCUCUGUAGAGUCUGCAUAUCAAUAAGCGGAGGAAAAGAAACUAACAAGGAUUCCCUUAGUAACGGCGAGUGAAGCGGGAAGAGCUCAAAUUUGAAAUCUUCGAGGUUUUACCUUGACGAAUUGUAGUUUAAAGAGGUGUUUUCUGUUGGUGUUUUGGUAAAAGUUCUUUGGAAUAGGACAUCAUAGAGGGUGAGAAUCCCGUAUUUGACCAUUACUUCCAGCGUUGUGAUACACUUUCAAAGAGUCGGAUUGUUUGGGAAUGCAGUCCAAAAUGGGUGGUAAAUUUCAUCUAAAGCUAAAUAUUGGCGAGAGACCGAUAGCGAACAAGUACCGUGAGGGAAAGAUGAAAGGAACUUUGAAAAGAGAGUUAAACAGUACGUGAAAUUGUCAAAAGGGAAGCGUUUGACACCAGUGUUGUUUUCUCGAAAAUCAAUUAAAAAUGGCUUGAUUUUGUGUUGUAUUGACCUUAAAAGCUUUCUUCACUUUUUUCAUGUCUUUUUUAAUGCGCUUUUCGUUUAACAAGUCAACAUCAAUUUCUUUUGUUGUAAAAGGGUCAUUGGAAGGUGGCUUUCUUUUCGGAGAAAGUGUUUAUAGCCUUUGGCCUCUGCAAUCGGAGAGAUUGAGGUCUGCAGCGUAGAUCCUUCGGGGUUAGAUACAUUUGUGCUAAGUUAUAGCCUUUCAUAGACAACUUGUUGACUAUGAUUAGUCAUGUCGGCUUACUCGCUUAUGCUAUUUUACCUACGCUUAGGAUGUUGAUCUGUAGUGCGUGCGC
rnacentral:rRNA from 1 species